AGGAGGAACAACCCCAGUGGCUCUAGAGCCCUGGAUUCAGCCCCCGCAGGAACUCCGGAGCUCUCCGUCUGCAGGGCCUGGAGGCUCCGGGGCGGG
rnacentral:pre_miRNA from 1 species